GACCCGAUGGUGGAGUGGUUACCACACCUGCUUUAAGUGCACAAUGGAACAUGUUUCAGUAGGAGAGCCCCGUUCGAUUCGGGGUCGGGUCA